rnacentral:rRNA from 1 species
UACGUAGGGGCCUAGCGUUGUCCGGAAUUAUUGGGCGUAAAGAGCUCGUAGGCGGUUCGGCAAGUCGGAUGUGAAAUCUCCACGCUUAACGUGGAGGGGCCAUUCGAAACUGCUGUGACUCGAGUCCGGUAGGGGAGUGUGGAAUUCCCGGUGUAGCGGUGAAAUGCGCAGAUAUCAGGAGGAACACCGGUGGCGAAGGCGGUUCUCUGGGCAUUACCUGACGCUGAGGAGCGAAAGUGUGGGGAGCGAACAGG